AUUGAACGCUGGCGGCAGGCUUAACACAUGCAAGUCGAGCGAGUGGCGGACGGGUGUGUAAUGUCUGGGAAACUGCCUGCUGGAGGGGGAUAACUACUGGAAACGGUAGCUAAUACCGCAUACCAUCGGAUGUGCCCAGAUGGGAUUAGCUAGUAGGUGGGGUAAAGGCUCACCUAGGCGACGAUCCCUAGCUGGUCUGAGAGGAUGACCAGCCACACUGAAACUGAGACACGGUCCAGACUCCUACGGGAGGCAGCAGUGGGGAAUAUUGCACAAUUGGCGCAAGCCUGAUGCAGCCAUGCCGCGAGUAUGAAGAAGGCCUCCGGGUUGUAAAGUACUUUCAGCGGGUAGGUGUUACCCGCAGAAGAAGCACCGGCUAACUCCGUGCCAGCAGCCGCGGUAAUUC
rnacentral:rRNA from 1 species